GCUUAAAUAGUUUAUAAAAACAUCAACUUGUGGCGUUGAAGAUACUAAAAUAAUAGUUUUAGGUU
rnacentral:tRNA from 9 species